CUAAAAGUAAGUUAAAAAAACUAUUGGAUUCAUACUCCAACCUUGAUAAUAUCCUUUUAGA
rnacentral:tRNA from 1 species